ensembl:lncRNA
CCUGGGCACGCCGAGGGCAGCUGUGUCAGAGGGACUUUGAUCAGUCCUCAGGAAAACUAUUCGAAUGAAGGUAAAGAUUCCAAAGACGGCUGUCAAAAUGAGUUUGCUGCUCAGAUGGUGUCACAAUUUUCCACACAAGACAACAAUAAACUUGUUUAGAACGAAAAGGGCAUAAAUGAUUUAUCGUACCUUCGACUAGAACUAGAGGCAGAGACAAAAGGUGCUUUGAGGAGAGCACAGACCCCGUAAUGACACCCCGAUGAAAAGCACAUCCAAUGAGGAUCAUCGUCUGUAACCCGCCGAAUCGCCUGCCAUUUCCCAUAAGCCAACCAUUCCUGGGAGCCGCAGUACCUGGGACGUUGGGGGAUGUGAAGGCUGUGAGCGUCAUACAGACGGGCUGGUCCUAGCAUACUGGAACCCGUGGGAGCAGUCUCAAGAAGAGCACCAGGAAGACAGAUGCAGUGCAUGGCGAGGACUGAUAACAUCUGCCAGGGAGUUUGGUGGAACAGAACACCUUGUGACCCCUUGACCCUUCUUUCAAGACCACCCCAUGUGGAGCUGUGCCCCAGUGCUGGGGAUGUUGGAAAACUCAUCGUUCCACCAGCCGAAUCGUAUAUCAACCACCUCUGCAAAAUGCUAUAACACUUUGUCCUCACACCUCUGAAGAUAAACUUGUGUCUUUUGUUUUCUAGGAUAUUUUUUCUUUUUCAAUUUAAAAUACUACUUACGAUAGAGGCACCCGGCUUCUCCGUUCAGUUGUGACCAUCCAGGGCAACACUUGUAAACCGUCUGAUAGUCCUGUCUGUACACUUGUCUGAAGGCAGUAUAGUAGGCUGUCCUGCAAAGGAAAACCAAACACGGUUUUGGCAGUUAAGGAAUUUAUAAAACAAAAUGAGUGGAAUAAAAUACUAUGUGCUUGUGUGUGUAAAACGUUAAUUUAGAACAUUCUUUUGAUUAAUUUCACUGGAUGAAAAAGAGAGCAUUUAAAAUACCUUAACGUGUGUGUGUGCGUGUGCGUGUGCGUGUGCGUGUGUGUGCGUGUGCGUGUGUGUGUGUGUGUGUGUGUGUGUCUCUCUCUAAUCUUGGGUCACCUGUUGGUUUAUAGAUUAAGACUAACUUUCUGAUACAUAUUCAGGUGCCUUUAAGGUUGCAAUUACCUGAUUACAGCGAUUUAUAGAAAAAGACACAUACACACACAGACCUUUUGAGGUAACAAACAGCACGAUAAUCGGCUUAACAUUUUCCCAGUCUUUUAAGUCAGUCUUUGAAAGUGUGAGGCGGGGGAAGCUAGUCCUCGCUCCAGCGUCUAUCCCUGUACUUUAGAACCCCUCUCUCUCCAAUCCACCGUCAUUACCCCUUGUGAAAAAAACUGUUGUCUACGGAUAACUAAUUGUGGCCCUUGGAUGUCUUCAAAGGCCCUGGCGCGACUAAGAAAGACUGCAGAACCACAGAGAAAGCAGGCAGGAUCAUGAGAAAGAGGAGUGCAUCCAACGUGUGCGCAUGUGUGUGUGUGUGUGUGUGUGUGUGUGUGUGUGUGUGUAAACACAGCUCCCCUUCAGUCCCGGGUGAUGCUUGCCCUGGCACUCUGCUACAAAGCUCUGUGGGCCCAGGAAACACCCUUUCACUGAACAGCCUGUAACCGCAGUCCAAAUGGGACUCUACCUUGCACUUACACUGUGUGCUACGACCUUAAAGCCCCCUGAUCAAAGUACAACAGGGAGAUAAUGAGGCAACCGGGGAAAGAAACAAACGCGCCUCCUCGGGGUACUUCUUAUUUGACAUAGGCCGUUGAGUUUGAUUCUGUCACUUGGAUGUGUGUGAUUUCA